GGCACGCCAGCAGGUGAUUGAUUUUAGGCAGUCUUUGAUCAAAACUGCCAUCUGGUGUUUUGCUGUUUAAACCUUUUCGCCUGAUUUUUAUCACUUUAUAGUAAUCUGUUAAAAAUUACAAUCGAUAAAUUAUAGUCAAGGGUGAAUUGUAACGAUUCAGUCACGAUCAACUUUUGCCGAAAUGGGCUACCAAUAUUACCAAUCUUACCUGGUAUCCUAUACGUGAUACGUGUGCCUCAUACCAGUAGCUCUUGAAUUCACCACACGAAAAAGCUUGUCCAACAACCUGUAGAUCCGUUUACUCAGAAUUAAAUUUUUUUGCUAGUGUGA